AUACGGGGGGGGCGAGCGUUGUCCGGAAUCAUUGGGCGUAAAGGGUGAGUAGGCGGGAUGGUAAGUCAGAGGUGAAAGUCCAGGGCUCAACUCUGGAUCUGCCUCUGAUACUGCUGUCCUUGAGUGCGGGAGAGGGAAGUGGAAUUCCCGGUGUAGCGGUGAAAUGCGUAGAUAUCGGGAAGAACACCAGUGGCGAAGGCGGCUUCCUGGCCCGCAACUGACGCUGAAUCACGAAAGCGUGGGGAGCAAACAGGAGUAGAAACCCCAGUAGUCC
rnacentral:rRNA from 1 species